CCUACGGGUGGCAGCAGUAGGGAAUCUUGCGCAAUGGGCGAAAGCCUGACGCAGCCAUGCCGCGUGAAUGAUGAAGGUCUUAGGAUUGUAAAAUUCUUUCAGCGGGGACGCGGUACCCGCAGAAGAAGCCCCGGCUAACUUCGUGCCAGCAGCCGCGGUAAUACGAAGGGGGCUAGCGUUGCUCGGAAUUACUGGGCGUAAAGGGCGCGUAGGCGGAUGUUUAAGUCAGAGGUGAAAGCCCAGGGCUCAACCUUGGAACUGCCUUUGAUACUGGACAUCUUGAGUGUGGGAGAGGUGAGUGGAACUCCGAGUGUAGAGGUGAAAUUCGUAGAUAUUCGGAAGAACACCAGUGGCGAAGGCGACUCACUGGCCAUACUGACGCUGAGGCGCGAAAGCGUGGGGAGCAAACAGGAUUAGAUACCCUUGUAGUC
rnacentral:rRNA from 1 species